rnacentral:rRNA from 1 species
CGGGUGAGUAACACGUGGAUAACCUACCUAUAAGACUGGGAUAACUUCGGGAAACCGGAGCUAAUACCGGAUAAUAUUUUGAACCGCAUGGUUCAAAAGCGAAAGACGGUCUUGCUGUCACUUAUAGAUGGAUCCGCGCUGCAUUAGCUAGUUGGUAAGGUAACGGCUUACCAAGGCAACGAUGCAUAGCCGACCUGAGAGGGUGAUCGGCCACACUGGAACUGAGACACGGUCCAGACUCCUACGGGAGGCAGCAGCC